CCUACGGGGGGCAGCAGUGGGGAAUAUUGCACAAUGGGGGAAACCCUGAUGCAGCGACGCCGCGUGAGUGAAGAAGUAUUUCGUUAUGUAAAGCUCUAUCAGCAGGGAAGAAAAUGACGGUACCUGAGCAAGAAGCCACGGCUAACUACGUGCCAGCAGCCGCGGUAAUACGUAGGGGGCAAGCGUUAUCCGGAUUUACUGGGUGUAAAGGGAGCGUAGACGGUUAUGUAAGUCUGGAGUGAAAGCCCGCGGCUUAACUGCGGAACUGCUUUGGAAACUGUGGAACUGGAGUGCGGGAGGGGUAAGCGGAAUUCCUGGUGUAGCGGUGAAAUGCGUAGAUAUCAGGAGGAACACCGGUGGCGAAGGCGGCAUACUGGACCGAAACUGACGUUGAGGCUCGAAAGCGUGGGGAGCAAACAGGAUUAGAUACCCUAGUAGUC
rnacentral:rRNA from 1 species